UGGGGCGUGGCCAAGUGGUAAGGCAGCGGGUUUUGGUCCCGUUACUCGGAGGUUCGAAUCCUU
rnacentral:tRNA from 1 species